AGAAUCAACGCUGGCGGCGUGCCUAACACAUGCAAGUCGCACGAGAAAGGGGAGCAAUCCCUGAGUACAGUGGCGCACGGGUGAGUAACACGUGAAUGAUCUACCUCCGAGUGGGGAAUAACUGAGAGAAAUCUUAGCUAAUACCGCAUAAUACCCACGGGUCAAAGCAGUAAUGCGCUUGGAGAGGAGUUCGCGGCAGAUUAGUUAGUUGGCGGGGUAAUGGCCCACCAAGACGAUGAUCUGUAUCCGGCCUGAGAGGGCGCACGGACACACUGGAACUGAAACACGGUCCAGACUCCUACGGGAGGCAGCAGUGGGGAAUUUUGCGCAAUGGGGGAAACCCUGACGCAGCAACGCCGCGUGGAGGAUGAAGCCCCUUGGGUGUAAACUCCUUUCGAUCGGGAAGAUAAUGACGGUACCGAUAUAAGAAGCCCGGCUAACUUCGUGCCAGCAGCCGC
rnacentral:rRNA from 1 species